UUCUAGUAUAUAAUAUCUUCCUCAUACUAGCAAAGGUGAGACAUAGGUGUUCAGAAAACUUUAGCUCUCAUACAUCUAGUAAAUCAAGCAAUGUUGAUGCAUCAAAGAAUUAUUCGACAAUCUUGGCUGAUACUGUAUUUGCUUAUAAGUUAUGACGGGGUUCAAGGAAAAACAAUGCUAUCUAAAUUGGAGGACUUAGAGUUGGAGGAGCAACUUAAACUUCUCAACAAGCCAUCAAUCAAAACAAUCAAGAGUAAAUAUGGAGAUAUAU